GAUGAACGCUGGCGGCGUGCCUAAUACAUGCAAGUCGAGCGAAAAGACGCGGCGCUUGCUCCUCUGUCGUUUGCGGAGGACGGGUGAGUCACACGUGGAUAACCUCCCUAUCUGUCUGGGAUCACUUCGGGAAACCGGAGCUUAUACCGGAUAAUCUCUUGCACCGCAUGGUUCAAUAGUGAAAGACGGCUUUGCGGUCUGUUCUAGAUGGUUACGGGCUGCGUUGGCUAGUUGGGAAGGUAACGGGUUUUCACGGCUACGAGUCGUUGCCGAACUGAGAGGGUGAUCGGCCACACUAGAACGGAGACACGGUCCAGACUCCUACGGUAGGCAGCAGUAUGGUAUGUGCCGCAAUAGGCGAAAGCCUGACGGAGCGGCGCCGCGUGAGAGAUGAAGGUCUUCGGAGCGGAAAACUCUGUUAUUAGGGAAGAACAAAUGUGGAAGUAACUAUGCACGGCUUGACGGUACCUAAUCAGAAAGCCACGGCUAACUACGUG
rnacentral:rRNA from 1 species